rnacentral:misc_RNA from 1 species
GCAUUAUUAGCAUUCUCAUAUAUACAAUUUGCAUAUAAACUUAUCAUUAUUAUCACAAUUUUAAUAUCCUCCAUUCUCACACAACAUAAAAAUGCCAUUUCUUCUGAAAAAGAUUGGUUUUCAUAUUAAACCAUUUUGAUGGCAACAAAGAAAGAAAAAAAACUCCAUACAUCCACUCAAUUGAAUGUACGGCUAGUAGCGCUGUUGCUGUUAUGUGGGGUCCUUUGAAGGCUUACCAAUGAGAAGUAAGCU